rnacentral:sRNA from 1 species
AUGUACCACGCGUACGCUCCGGUUCCUGCGCGCCGUUCACACCCACCUGGCAACUGCUCGCUACGUUUUGUUAGCC